rnacentral:snoRNA from 1 species
GGGCUCGUGUGCUCACCACAGGCUGUGUCCUUUACACUGACAGUAUAGAAAGAGCAGGCACAGUGAUCCCAGCACAGGCCUGUGCCUCGUCUAUGUUGAGAAGGGGGGUGAUGG